UCUUCAACAUAGUUACAUAUUUGAAAUCAAAGAUAACACCAGAAGAUGGAAAGAUGUCCCAUACUCAUGGGAAGGCAGAAUCAAUAUAGUGAAAAUGGCUAUAUUGCCCAAAAUGUUAUACAAAUUCAAUGCAAUCCCCAUCAAAGUCCUAGCUCCAUUCGUCACUGAAAUAGA